rnacentral:lncRNA from 1 species
GCAAGGGAAAUGCAAAUACAGAGCUGAUUGCGUUCCCUUAAAUGGGAAAGUGUGUUAAAUCUGAUAAGCGCGCUCUGAGUGUCUCCUAAGCGUGGGCUUGCCUCAGCAUUUAGUUUCUAUUCUACAGCAGGUGAGCGAAUGAAUGCUGUUCUGAAACUCUGCACAGUUCUCCUGGAUUCACGGUCACCCCCUAUCUGGGAACUGAAUAUUCACAUCCACCAGCAUGAUGUGUCCUAAGAGGAAACAAGGAGGGGGAUAUUGUGUGUUUUCCUUUACUGGUGCACAAGUUUCAGCCCUCUGGGAAGGGACUAAAGGAAUUGGCUGUGAAGCUUCAAAAGAAAACAGCUGGAAGGAGGAGGACAUGGAAGGUCUGACCUUCCCAACGCUAUGAAGCUGGCUGCCCU